UUCAUUAACCCUAACUUCCAAAUCUAAAGUUCUACCUAGAACUCGCCUAGUAGAAGAAGAAGAUGAAGUUUGGUGAAGAUGAUGAGUAGAAAAUGGUGAUGAUGAGCUUUUCCUUCUUCUCCUCCAAUCCAUUCUUCCUUCUUUCUCUCUUCUUUAUUCUUCUCUUUUCAUCUUCCUUUCUUUUCUUUUCUGAUAUCUCUCUCUUUCAUUCUUAUCUCUUCCUACUACUUCUUAUCCUUUUCUUCUUUUCUUUUCCACCACACAUACUCAUACUAUAUAAUAUAUAUAAAUAACAUACAAUAUUAAGUAGUAAUAUAAAAUAUCUCAAUUGAUAUUUUAUCUUCCAGUACCAAUUGACCAAUUAUCAAUGUUAUCAAAAAUGUCU
rnacentral:lncRNA from 1 species